AUUAAAUAUCACUUUUGUAUAGUUUGCCUAAACAGCAACCAAGUUGGGUAGAAGAACAGUAUUACCUUGUUGAGGAGCAAGCCUGAAGUAAAAUAUUUAAGGUGGUCUAAGGGAUUAAUGAAAUUAAACUAGCACAUCUAGACCUAGUGACAGUCUUCCUCCCUAAACUGCAGUGCAAGUCAGUUCAAAAUAGCUGAAAUGGUUUAUCAAUGAAGUCAUUGCCAGAAUGGUCGCUCCAUGGAAUUUAUGGCUAAUGAGAUUAUUAAGCCUGUAUUUGCUCAGUGGACUCUGAAACAUCGAGAAAAAGAAGAAAGAAACCAGGGAAACGCUCUUUGCUGGAGGGGAUAUGAGAAUUUAUGAAAGAUGAAUUAUUUACCUUAUGCUCUACAAGACACUGACGCAGCUCCAUUUGAAAAGCAUCUACAUUCCCAAAUGAACUGGCCAAUGAAAUGGGAUGAACACAUAAAGAAGUAUCAAAGAAGAUGGAAAUGGAAAUCUUUAGAAAACUAUUAAUCACAUUUUUAAAUUAUAUACGUGUGUGUGAAUAGAAACACACAUGCAUACACAUAUAUGGAUAGACAGAAUAUUAUUA